UACGUAGGGUGCAAGCGUUGUCCGGAAUUAUUGGGCGUAAAGAGCUCGUAGGCGGUCUGUCGCGUCUGCUGUGAAAACUCAGGGCUUAACCCUGAGCUUGCAGUCGAUACGGGCAGGCUAGAGUGCUGGAGGGGAGACUGGAAUUUACGGUGUAGCAGUGAAAUGCGUAGAUAUCGUAAGGAAGACCAGUGGCGAAGGCGAGUCUCUGGACAGCAACUGACGCUGAGGCACGAAGGCCAGGGGAGCAAACGGG
rnacentral:rRNA from 1 species